GAGCGUUCGUCCAACUUCUCAUCCAAGUAAAUGGCAGCGGCGCAUCAUCCAUCCGCUGAAAUCCCAAGGGACUGGGAGGAUAGUUCACGAUGCAACAAGCGUUUGGGGAGGACAUUCAUUGAAACGCAAUGACUUUUAAAUUCUUGAGGGACUCUUGCUCCAGGGGAAAUCUCAGCAGUGAUGUCUCUGCUGUGCGUCAGAGGUGUUGCAAGGAUCGGGCCAAAACGCAGUGUGGUGGCGAGAUGAUAAGACCAAGUUGACGA